GAUGCAAGGUGGUGUGGGCGGAGGUGGGUACCCUGCUAGCACCCACCUGGUGUCGUGGGCGGCGUGGGCGGCGCUGUGGUGGGCGGAGCUGCCUCUAUACCACCCCGUGGGCGGCUCUCUAGCAACGUGGGCGGCGCUGUGGUGGGCGGAGCUGCCUCUCUACUACCCCGUGGGCGGCUCUCUAGCAGCGUGGGCGGCGGUGUGGUGGGCGGCUCUCUCCCUCUUCCACCUGGGGGUGCCCAGAGCACCUAAUACUCCCCUGCUUCACCUGGCUCCCCUGCCUACUUAGACCUACUCAGGUUAACCAAGGCUCCUCAGACCAGGGACCAAUUAGUCUUAAGUUAUGUUAAGUUUUGGAUCACGCUUGUUCAUUUGUAAGAGGAGCAGUUAUUACCCAGUUAUCCAGUUAGCAAGCAGUCAGCCAGUUAACAACCACUCAAGCGGAUCUAGACGAUAAGUUAUCAUGAGACAGGAUGUUAACCCACACUGUCAACCAGUCAUUCGAGGCAGUCAAACUGAUAGCAAAUUAUUUCUACCGCCGUUUCUGUCAGCCAGUUACUCGAGUGUUAACGAGACAGUCAGACAAAACAAUAACAGUCAGAUUAUGUCCAAUAGCCAGUUACUCUCAACCAGUUUUUUUAGACAAACUCCCCAGUCACCCGGGGUUAAAAAUAUUGAUCAGUCAUGACUUCGUUUAUCCAGUUAUCUGACAGUUAGCCAGUCAGGAGUGGUUAUUAAACAGUCAGUCCUUAGACAGUUAAGUGCCCAGUUACAGUCGUUAGGCGGAUGCUAAACACCAGUCCGUAUAAAACCAACUACGACACAAAAACCGAGUCAAAACCAACCAAAAUAACCUCGAAAUUAUAUAAAAACCACUUGAAAUCACGUCAAAAGCCCGUCAAAAACCACGUAUAAAUGACAAAUACGUCAACC